AGCAGUCGCCGCGGUAAUACGAAGGGUGCAAGCGUUACUCGGAAUUACUGGGCGUAAAGCGUGCGUAGGUGGUGGUUUAAGUCCGUUGUGAAAGCCCUGGGCUCAACCUGGGAAUUGCAGUGGAUACUGGGUCACUAGAGUGUGGUAGAGGAUAGUGGAAUUUCCGGUGUAGCAGUGAAAUGCGUAGAGAUCGGAAGGAACAUCUGUGGCGAAGGCGACUAUCUGGGCCAACACUGACACUGAGGCACGAAAGCGUGGGGAGCAAACAGGAUUAGAUACCCCAGUAGUCCCUGUCUCUUAUAC
rnacentral:rRNA from 1 species